UAGGGAAUAUUGGGCAAUGGAGGGGACUCUGACCCAGCCAUGCCGCGUGCAGGAUGAAGGCGUUAUGCGUUGUAAACUGCUUUUAUAUAGGAAGAAAUAGUCCUUGCGAGGAAAGUUGACGGUACUAUAUGAAUAAGCACCGGCUAACUCCGUGCCAGCAGCCGCGGUAAUACGGAGGGUGCAAGCGUUGUCCGGAUUUAUUGGGUUUAAAGGGUGCGUAGGCGGUUUAUUAAGUCAGUGGUGAAAGACGGUCGCUCAACGAUUGCAGUGCCAUUGAUACUGGUAGACUUGAGUAUGAUUGAGGUAGCUGGAAUGGAUAGUGUAGCGGUGAAAUGCAUAGAUAUUAUCCAGAACACCAAUUGCGUAGGCAAGUUACUAAGUCAUAACUGACGCUGUAGCGCGAAAGCGUGGGGAUCAAACAGGAUUAGAUACCCGUGUAGUCCCUGAGCGGGCUGGCAAGGCGCAU
rnacentral:rRNA from 1 species